rnacentral:piRNA from 2 species
GGUUCCAUGGUGUAAUGGUUAGCACUUU